CUUACACAUGCAAGUCGAACGGCAGCACGGGUGCUUGCACCUGGUGGCGAGUGGCGAACGGGUGAGUAAUACAUCGGAACAUGUCCUGUAGUGGGGGAUAGCCCGGCGAAAGCCGGAUUAAUACCGCAUACGAUCUACGGAUGAAAGCGGGGGACCUUCGGGCCUCGCGCUAUAGGGUUGGCCGAUGGCUGAUUAGCUAGUUGGUGGGGUAAAGGCCUACCAAGGCGACGAUCAGUAGCUGGUCUGAGAGGACGACCAGCCACACUGGGACUGAGACACGGCCCAGACUCCUACGGGAGGCAGCAGUGGGGAAUUUUGGACAAUGGGCGAAAGCCUGAUCCAGCAAUGCCGCGUGUGUGAAGAAGGCCUUCGGGUUGUAAAGCACUUUUGUCCGGAAAGAAAUCCUUGGUUCUAAUAUAGCCGGGGGAUGACGGUACCGGAAGAAUAAGCACCGGCUAACUACGUGCCAGCAGCCGCGGUAAUACGUAGGGUGCGAGCGUUAAUCGGAAUUACUGGGCGUAAAGCGUGCGCAGGCGGUUUGCUAAGACCGAUGUGAAAUCCCCGGGCUCAACCUGGGAACUGCAUUGGUGACUGGCAGGCUAGAGUAUGGCAGAGGGGGGUAGAAUUCCACGUGUAGCAGUGAAAUGCGUAGAGAUGUGGAGGAAUACCGAUGGCGAAGGCAGGCCCCUGGGCCAAUACUGACGCUCAUGCACGA
rnacentral:rRNA from 1 species